AUGUAGCACGCGAGCGCUGCAAUCCCUGCGCGCCGUCCGCGCCCACCUGACGACUGCUCGCUACGUUUUGUUAGCC
rnacentral:sRNA from 1 species